UACCAAAAUGAUGGAAUUGGUAGACAUGCUAGGUUUAGGUUCUAGUUCUUUAUAAAAGAGUAAGGGUUCAAGUCCCUUUUUUGGUAA
rnacentral:tRNA from 1 species